ACAAGCCUGUGAUGUACAUCAAGUUAUCCCUGUCUGAGCUGACGAUGCUGACAACUGAGUUAUCUGAGGCUUGU